rnacentral:rRNA from 1 species
UACAGAGGUCUCAAGCGUUGUUCGGAUUCAUUGGGCGUAAAGGGUGCGUAGGCGGCGCGGUAAGUCGGGUGUGAAAUCUCGGAGCUUAACUCCGAAACUGCAUUCGAUACUGCCGUGCUUGAGGACUGGAGAGGAGACUGGAAUUUACGGUGUAGCGGUGAAAUGCGUAGAUAUCGGGAGGAACACCAGUGGCGAAGGCGACUACCUGGCCUGUUCUUGACGCUGAGGCGCGAAAGCUAGGGGAGCAAACAGG